rnacentral:rRNA from 1 species
UACGUAGGGUGCAAGCGUUGUCCGGAAUUAUUGGGCGUAAAGAGCUCGUAGGCGGUCUGUCGCGUCGGCUGUGAAAACCCGGAGCUCAACUCCGGAUCUGCGGUGGGUACGGGCAGACUAGAGUGAUGUAGGGGAGACUGGAAUUCCUGGUGUAGCGGUGAAAUGCGUAGAUAUCAGGAGGAAUACCUAUGGCGAAAGCAGGGUAUCUGGGCCAUCACUGACGCUGAGCUGCGAAAGCUAGGGGAGCAAACAGG